UUUUUACUUUUUGUUUUGGGUUGACUUCUCAGUUCCCUAAUUGCGUCAUCUUGCCAUCCCACCACCACCGCACCGUGCAAUCCCACCCUCGUCCACUACCACUGCGUGCAACCCCACCCCCAUCUACCACCACCACAUGUGACCUCACCCCCACCCUCCAACACUGUGAUGCGAAGGUCGCAGAGGCCAUUGAUCUGGCUGCAAAGGUCACAAAGCAGGCGACCCCUCCCCCAUCCUCCCUUUGCACAUCUCUCUG
rnacentral:lncRNA from 1 species